GACGGUAUCGUUACUUCCCUCGCGAACACUGGCUUCCGGUAGAACAAUGUCGAAGGUACGAGCGAAACACAGUAGUUGCUUUGUUGUUGGCUGCACAAACCAACACAGAAGUCUUUUUUUAAUCCCUACGCCCGAGGAUCUGAAGACCCGGUGGAUUAAUUUUAUUUUUGAUGGAAAUGUUCCCGCUCCAACUCCGGAAGUGUUGUACGUGUGUGCUAACCAUUUCACCUCGGACUGCUUUCUCAACGAGGGCCAGGACAAUGCAGGAUUUGCUACAAGUCUCAAGAUAAAGCUUGGAUCAGUACCGACUGUCCGUGACCCAACUUUGAACUUGGGAGCUCACAUCAAGUGCAUUGAUACAGCUUCCUGCAACAAGGGAUGUUGCAUGCCAGACUGACCCACAGUUAUCCUUGAAGACUCUUCAGCCUCACAUCAGAAGUACAGGUCUGUAGCCACCUGAAGUGCAUCUACUUUUGAUAAACCUAACAGUCAUUUAACAGUCUUGGAAUAAUGUGCAGGUAAAUGAAGCUGUGGUUACUUAGAACUUGUGAGAGUGUGUAUGCUAAGGUUUCUGUCAACAUUAACAUCUUUGAUUUUCUCUUUACUGUACCUCCAGACUCUACCUGGCUGCCAUGUCCUACAAUGAAAAUGCUGACCGACCACAAGCCCAAACAAAAGAAGGAGAACCACUGUUCAAGGUCCAAUUUCCAAAGGGAAUGUGGUGGACCUCAUAUUUGAAAAAGUCUUUGUUGACCUGGGAUCAUACACAGAAGCUGCUUUGGCCAUCCCCAUCCCAGAGGACCUCACUGCACAGUUGGAGUGGCCUGAGAAGGAGGAGGUCAUAUCCAGCUCUGUGUCCCGGUUCUAUCAUGGGGCAGUCUAAAACCCACGUUCUGGGGCAUGUGGCGUCAGGAAACACGGCAUGGAUGCGCAGGACCACGCAGGCUGGAAUGACGACCCAGAUUCUGCGACAAAGGAAGCCCCAGCACCAGCUCACAAAGAUCCUAUAGGCUAAAUACCUGUACUGACUAAAACAACUGGACAGGGCAUUUAGUCUUGCAAACAUAUAUCUAUGAUGUGUCUCACAAUUUUUUUUAUGGAUCCAGUGAAUCCUACAGUUUUUUUAUUAUCACUGAUUAUAAGUCCCUCAUUUGAUGUAAAUAAAUGCUUGAUUGUUACU